GUGCUUGCUUUGGCAGCACAUACACUAAACCUAGACCACUACAGAGAAGAUUAGCAUGGCCCCUAAGCAUGGAUGACUCAAACAUUCCCAAAGAGCUCCAUGUUUUU